GACGAACGCUGGCGGCGUGCUUAACACAUGCAAGUCGAACGGAAAGGCCCUGCUUUUGUGGGGUGCUCGAGUGGCGAACGGGUGAGUAACACGGGAGUAACCUGCCCUUGACUUUGGGAUAACUUCAGGAAACUGGGGCUAAUACCGGAUAGGAGCUCCUGCUGCAGGGUGGGGGUUGGAAAGUUUCGGCGGUUGGGGAUGGACGCGGGGCUUAUCAGCUUGUUGGUGGGGUAGUGGCUUACCAAGGCUUUGACGGGUAGCCGGCAUGAGAGGGUGACCGGCCACAUGGGGACUGCGAUACGGCCCAGACUCCUACGGGAGGCAGCAGUGGGGAAUAUUGCACAAUGGGCGGAAGCCUGAUGCAGCAACGCCGCGUGCGGGAUGACGGUCUUCGGGUUGUAAACCGCAUUAGCCUGUGACGAAGCGUGAGUGACGGUAAUGGGUAAAGAAGCACCGGCUAACUACGUG
rnacentral:rRNA from 1 species